CACCAAUAUGCUGCUCCACAAAACUGACCCACAAAGGAGAAAUAGAGAUACACAGAGAGGUGGAAGAGAACGUCACCUUGGAAGACCUGUUUGAAUCAGUGUUAUGUAUGGAGAUGCAGCCUAUUCCCCAGUCUGCUAGAGAGUCGGAGAAAGACACCACAGACCAGCAUAAAAGUCACUUACUGGACCUGGACUGCUAUAUCUGUACUGCACAGCCAGGCCCUGAUGGCAAAGAAGGGUUUAACCCACCAAGGAACAAAUCUCGCUCUCAGAAGAAGGAAGCAAUGCUCUUCAGAAAAUUACAUUCAGCCAGAG
rnacentral:lncRNA from 1 species